UAAUUCUCUUAUUAUUUAUUUAUUAAUUAAUUUUUAAUUAAUAAAUUUUAGUAUGAAAUAUUUAAAGGGAUGAGCUUUUAUUUAUAUAAUUAAAAAUUUUAUUUUUAUUUAUUUUUUGUAUAAUUUAGAUUGUUAAUCAUAUGAAUAAUUUAAUAUUUAAUUUUAUUAUAUUUAAGAUUUAUAUUAGUUUUAGUUUUUAUAUUAAAAAUUUUUGUUUAAUUUUGUUUCUUUAGUAAUAAUGAUAAAAUUAGUAGAUUAAUAUGUAUAUAGUGUUAGAUUUUUUAGGUAAUAAAAAGGAACUCGGCAAAUUAAUUUUCUGCCUGUUUAUUAAAAACAUGUCUUUUUGAUAAUAAUUUAAGGUUUAAUCUGCUCAAUGAAUAGUUAAAUUGCCGCAGUAUUUUGACUGUGCAAAGGUAGCAUAAUAAUUAGCUUUUUUAUUGGAAGCUGGAAUGAAUGAUUGGACAAGAAAAUUUCUGUCUCUUUAUUAUUUUUUUUUGAAUUUUACUUUUAAGUUAAAAGGCUUAAAUUUUUUUAAAAGACGAGAAGACCCUAUAGAGUUUAAUUUUUUUAUUAUUUAGGAUUUAUUAGAAUUUAAGUAAUUUUAUUUAUAAAAAAAUUUGGUUGGGGUGACUGAAAGAUAAAAUUAACUCUUUUAAUUAUAAUCAAUUAUGUUUGAAUUUGAAAUCUAUAUUUAUAAGUUUAAAGUAAAUUACCUUAGGGAUAACAGCGUAAUUUUUUUUUAGAGUUCUUAUUAAAAGAAAAGUUUGCGACCUCGAUGUUGGAUUAAAAUUUAUUUUGGGUGUAGAAGCUUAAAUAUUAAGUCUGUUCGA
rnacentral:rRNA from 1 species